rnacentral:rRNA from 1 species
GAUGAACGCUGGCGGCGUGCCUAAUACAUGCAAGUCGAACGGUGUAUAUGAGCAAUCGUAUACAUAGUGGCGAACGGGUGAGUAACGCGUUGGUGACCUACCCCAAAGUGGGGGAUAACAGAUCGAAAGGUCUGCUAAUACCUCAUGUUGUCAUCGUUUUUAGAAAUCGAUGAUUAAAGGAGCAAUCCGCUUUGGGAGGGGCCUGCGUCCCAUCAGCUAGUUGGUAGGGUAAUGGCCUACCAAGGCGUCGACGGGUAAGGGACCUGAGAGGGUGGCCCCUCACAAUGGAACUGAAACACGGUCCAUACACCUACGGGAGGCAG